GAUGAACGCUGGCGGCGUGCCUAAUACAUGCAAGUCGAGCGAACAGACGAGGAGCUUGCUUCUCUGACGUUAGCGGCGGACGGGUGAGUAACACGUGGAUAACCUACCUAUAAGACUGGGAUAACUUCGGGAAACCGGAGCUAAUACCGGAUAAUAUUUUGAACCGCAUGGUUCAAUAGUGAAAGACGGUUUUGCUGUCACUUAUAGAUGGAUCCGCGCCGCAUUAGCUAGUUGGUAAGGUAACGGCUUACCAAGGCAACGAUGCGUAGCCGACCUGAGAGGGGGAUCGGCCACACGGGAAUGGAGACACGGUCCAGACUCCAACGGGAGGCAGAAGUGGGGAAUCUUCCGCAAUGGGCGAAAGCUUGACGGAGCAACGCGGGGUGGGUGAUGAAGGUCUUCGGAUCGUAAAACUCUGUUAUUAGGGAAGAACAAAUGGGUAAGUAACUAUGCACGUCUGGAGGGUACCAAAUCAGAAAGCCACGGCUAACUACGU
rnacentral:rRNA from 1 species